rnacentral:rRNA from 1 species
UACGUAGGGCGCAAGCGUUGUCCGGAAUUACUGGGCGUAAAGCGUGCGCAGGCGGUUUUGUAAGCCAGAUGUGAAAUCCCCGGGCUUAACCUGGGAAUGGCAUUUGGGACUGCAAGGCUCGAGUGCGGCAGAGGAGACUGGAAUUCCGGGUGUAGCGGUGGAAUGCGUAGAGAUCCGGAAGAACACCGGUGGCGAAGGCGGUUAGCUGGGCAGUUGCUGACACUGAGGCGCGACAGCGUGGGGAGCAAACAGG